UUAAGCAUAUUUAUUGUAAAAAAAAAUACAUAUAAAAACUAAUUUUCAGACAUACAAAAGAUUUAUAGGCAUUGGAAACAGCAUCAUGGACAAACAAAAGACAAAGCCAUUUUGAAAUGUGAUACAUAUUUACACUUUAAUAAAUAAAUACUCAAUUGUUCUUUAGCAGAAUGAAGGCAGAUUGUCUGUGUUUGGGGAUGUGAAUAUAUGCAAAUCAUAUUGACCCAAAGAACAUUCCCAACUCAUUCAUAUUUGACCGACAACUGUCAAAACACAGGAUCAAGCGGGUCAAGACCCUUAGCACUGAGUAAUUACAGAACUUGCUAUGGUAUUUAUACUGUGUAUAUAUAAUAAUAUUUCGAGAAAAAAACAAAACAAAACAAAGCAAACACCACCUUUGGAGUUAGCUAAGCCCCAGGUUAGUAUAGUAAAUAUUGAUAUUGAGGUAUGGCACCACAUAUGUUAAAGGGCAAAAGCUAACUUAGAGAGCUUAAAAGAUUGUCAAAAUACUCUGACAAUACCUCCCUCCACUCCACAAUGCACUACACCGACACAAAACAUACAUGUAACUGUAAAAAUGACUUUUGCCUUUGACUCACACAGACACAUUUCACAUUUUCAGGCAUUUCUCAUGUUUUCAAUUGGAAAGAACCGUCAGACUGUCCUGUAAAGGAAACACAUUGCAAUACUUUCAAAGUUAACCUCUCAGCUGAGAAAAGCAAAGUCUUACCACUCAAAAUAUGAAUCCUCGAGCGAAGGCAAAAAAGUAACAGACCAAAUGACCUCUACAAGACACAAUAGAAUAAUGAAAAUAACACCCACAAUCAGGAAACCCCAUAAACCUCAAAACAUGAAAAAGUAUUUACCCUGUGGAGGGCUGUCUAAAAAAA